rnacentral:rRNA from 1 species
GACGAACGCUGGCGGCGUGCUUAACACAUGCAAGUCGAACGCUGAACCCGCUUCGGUGGGGGAUGAGUGGCGAACGGGUGAGUAACACGUGCGCAACCUGCCCCCGGCUCUUGGAUAAAUCCAAAGAAUUGGGGCUGAUACCGGAUGUGCCCGCUGGCCGCGUGGUCUGUUGGUGGAAAAGAUGUCCGGCUGGGGAUGGGCCCGCGGCCUAUCAGCUUGUUGGUGGGGUAGUGGCCUACCAAGGCGACGACGGGUAGCCGGCCUGAGAGGGUGACCGGCCGCAGCGCUACCGAGAUAGGGCCCAGACUCCGCUGGGAGGCAGCACUGGGGAAGAGCGUAACACGUGCGGGACGAUGACGGAGCGCGGCUGGGUGGGGGAUGGCGGCCUUCGGGUUGUAAACCUCUUUCAGCAGGGACGAAGCGCAAGUGACGGUACCUGCAGAAGAAGCACCGGCCAACUACGUG